AUGGCAAGCAUAUCUGAAGACUCUGGUGAAGAAACACCACUACAGGUGGCACCACUACAUGUUUUUGUCAGGCUCGCCUUUUCGAUGCGCAAAAUGAUGAGGGAUAAAGCUCUGGUCAGGAGACUUUCUGCAUGCGAGACAAUGGGUUCUGCAACAACAAUUUGCAGUGACAAGACUGGAACAUUAACUUUAAAUCAGACGACUGUUGUUGAGGCAUACUUUGGUGGUGAGAAGAUGGAUCCUCCAGAUAACACUCAGAAGCUAUCUGCUGCUAUAUCAACAAUGAUUAUUGAAGGAAUUGAUCAGAAUACAUCUGUAAGCAUAUUUGAGCCGGAGCUGUGUGGCUUAAUGGUGGUGGAGGUUGUUCUGUAG
rnacentral:rRNA from 1 species